UGAUCCUACGGGAGGCAGCAGUGGGGAAUAUUGGGCAAUGGAGGAAGCUCUUACCCAGCAAUGCCGCGUGAAUGAAGAAGGUCUUCGGAUUGUAAAGUUCUUUAAUUGGGGACGAAAAAAAUGACGGUACCCAAGGAAUAAGCCCCGGCUAACUACGUGCCAGCAGCCGCGGCAAUACGUAGGGGGCAAGCGUUGUUCGGAAUGACUGGGCGUAAAGGGUGUGUAGGCGGUUUAGCAAGUUAGAAUG
rnacentral:rRNA from 1 species